ensembl:miRNA dre-mir-26a-1 microRNA 26a-2
UUCAAGUAAUCCAGGAUAGGCUUGUGAUGUCCGGAAAGCCUAUUCGGGAUGACUUGGUUC